AUUUAAUAAUUUUGAACACCAAUCAUUUUCUUUUAUGGUAACA
rnacentral:sRNA from 1 species